CCUCCAGAAGCCUCUAAGACCGACUGUUCUUCCUCCUGCUUUCUAAACAGCCCCCUUCACUCCCUCAGACGACUACAGCGUGCCGUGCUUGGAUGGUUCAUGUAUAAUUACACCGACAUCGACUCUUCCAGACUCUCAAAGUCAGCUACUUCGGAAAUCAGAUCCCACCAUCGAGUCUACUAUAUGGGUCAGCUACUUGCGAAAUCAAAUCGAGACUGCAGAUUUGGGCAAAUCUGGGAGUCUUAAUCAGUUGUUUGCGAAUCUUGGAGCAGAACACUGCAGUAGUGUCUACAACAUUUGAAUGGGUAGGAUAACUUUGAGAAAGUUCAAAGCCUAUUGAAAAGUUAUUUUUGUAAAACUGGGACCAGAGUAACCAUAUACAACAAUGGAUGUUGCUGACAUAUAAACGAAAAGUUUGAGUAUUGUAGCGCAAAGCGUUGUUAACUUUUAGACUAUGGAUUUGGGCAAAUCUGGGCGUGUUAGUCAAUUUGUGUUUGCAAAUCUUGGACCACCACAGUGUAAUACCGUCUACAGCAAUCAAACAAGAAGAGGCGUGUGGUUCUUCUUCCGGAAACUCCAAGCUACUUCCAAAGAAUCAGCUUCUUUUUGAGUUGGAGCUUGAAGGCUGCAUAUAUUCGAGAAGUUGGAAUGACGUUCGGAGACUCAAGGAUUCUGCUCUGAGGGGUGUUUGAAAAGCCAGAUAAGACAUCAGCAACGUUCCUGUCAUUUAUAGAAAAUUUUGGCAAGAGGGUGGAGUUGGAUAGCACCAUUAAAUAUGAUGAUGCUUAAGUACCAUGCAGCUCUCUCUAUGAUAGCUUCUAAAACAUCCUAUGAGAAUAAUGCCAAUGCCUACAUUAACACUACUGUUAGGGAUCAUUGGAAGACUGAAAAAAAAAACCCACUACACAAGCCUUUAUGCUUCAGAAUAAGUGUUCUGACCAUGACACCGUUGUUGUGGCCUUUAAGGGAACCGAAUCGCUUGAUGCAGAUGCUAUGCUCCGACUUUGUAUCUCUUGGUAUGAGCUUUCAGGGUGGAAGCGUCACAAGAUUGACGAAGACUGAGGCUUUGCUGCACAAGUUGUUCAUUGACACAAGACCAGCAAAACCAACAAAGGAAGAAAAGAAUUCAACCUUCAAACUUUCAAUCAUGUUUCCCUUUGUGAGUUUCCUCUCUAAACUAUUCUGUUUCUAUGACUAAUAAAAAUUAACCUCUUAUAUAAUAAUGCCAUUAUUACUAAUUCCUGAAAUAUUUUGCGGGAUUCGCACACAACUCCAUUCACUGCAAACAAAAAAGUAUCUCAUGCUUGAUCUUAAUGAAGCUUAGAAAAAGCAUAUAUAGGUGGGAAAGGUCCAAUACUGAUGGUUGGAGAUAGAAUGCUCUUUUGAUCCUCCCAGAUAUUCAUUUCAUAAGGUGUUGGUGUGUCAUGCUUUGCUGAGCAUUUGAUACCUAAUCAGCAACACACCAAACGAACAAUAUGACCAGCCAACAAAUAUCACAGUAAAGAAAAAGAAAAAAAUGAAAACCAAAAGAAGAACACACCCAACCAAUCCUAAACCCUAUACUGUCCCUUCCUUGAGUCAAAAAAUGGGACAGUGCCUUAGUUGUAUCUAAGCAGAUCAGUCUACCGUUGCAAUCAGAAAACUUUUGGAAAGUUUGAUGAUGUGCUUGAAUCUGGUUGUCAUUGUUUGCCUUGCUGUUGCCAUGGUGCAGUAGCUGCUCAUGUCUUUCUACAACUGUAGCAAUUAGAUGUUCGCUGUGAAACAAUUGGAAGAAUGCAUAUACUCGAGAAAUUCGAAAGACCAAAUACACAGAUUUGGAAGCUUUACGAGAUUGUUUGAUUUGAAGUUAUUGAUUCUGGUGAGAAAUUUGUGUGACAUGUUCUGAUCAUGCAGUAAAGAAUUCAGGUGUAAAUUUGUAACAUGUUCAAAGUUCAAACCAAACCAAAUCUGUAAAUUUCAGCAGAAACAUUCUGCUAUGUAAUGUUAUCCCAAUAACAUGUAAUAGUACUUCAAAUGCAGUUCAUCUAUAUAGUUCGAGAGUACACUAACCUCAA